CAAUUGAAGAGUUUGAUCAUGGCUCAGAUUGAACGCUGGCGGUAACUUUUAAACAUGCAAGUCGAGCGGUAACAGACAUAAAGAUUCAGCUUGCUGAAUCCGGUGCUGACGAGCGGCGAACGGGUGAGUAACGCGUAGGAAUCUACCCAGUAGCGGGGGAUAGCCCGGGGAAACCCGGAUUAAUACCGCAUACGCCCUAAGGGGGAAAGGGGGCAGCUUGCUGCUUUCACUAUUGGAUGAGCCUG
rnacentral:rRNA from 1 species